rnacentral:rRNA from 1 species
UGGGGAAUAUUGCACAAUGGGGGAAACCCUGAUGCAGCAACGCCGCGUGCGGGAUGACGGCCUUCGGGUUGUAAACCGCUUUCAGCCAUGACGAAGCUUUUGUGACGGUAGUGGCAGAAGAAGCACCGGCUAACUACGUGCCAGCAGCCGCGGUGAUACGUAGGGUGCGAGAGUGGUCCGGAAUUAUUGGGCGUAAAGAGCUUGUAGGCGGUUUGUCGCGUCGAAAGUGUAAACUCAGUGCUUAACGCUGAGCCUGCUUUCGAUACGGGCUGGCUAGAGGAAGGUAGGGGAGAAUGGAAUUUCCGGUUGAGCGGUGGAAUGCGCAGAUAUCGGGAGGAAAACCAGUGGCGAAGGCGGUUCUCUGGACCUUUCCUGACGCUGAGAAGCGAAAGCGUGGGUAGCAAACAGG